rnacentral:lncRNA from 1 species
CGACCGUAGUAUUCCUUUUUUAUUCCCUUCAGCUCUCAAUCAUCUGAAAUGCAGAAUUAUGGAAAUUUGGAAUUAAUGAGCAUCAUCAGGGAGGAACUUGCUCAGCGCUGCAGAAGCUGCGCCCUCUGCUGGUGAAAUGCAGCAGCGACCUUAUGACGUAGUGAGAAUGGUUCACCGUGGAUCUGAAAGUGUCGCUUUAGGUCUGAUUAUAUACAGAGACAUACAGAUGAUAUUAAUGAAUUAAUGCUGGCAGUAUUCAUGCUGAUCCAGAUGUUAAAUUCAUCAUAAUCAUCAGAUUAUUCCAGCAGAUGCACAUGCAUCAUAUUCCCGUGCACCAUUAGCAGGCGGCUUGGCACAGUGCUGCUUCCAAAGGAUGAAAUCACUUCUGGCCUCUCCUCCUCCUCCCUUGUGCGGCCUGUCGUUUUAGUGAAAGCUCCUAUCCCUCCCCCCCUCGAGCGGGCGAGCGAGACUCCUCCCUCCUCCGGUCCCCGCCCUGCCGAGCGUGCCUCCGUCAGCCAGCCUCCGCUCAGUGGCAGCGUUUCUCUCUGCGAAGGGGCAGCCUCAUUCUCUCCUCCAGGAUGUCGGGCCCUCUAACCAGCACCUUCCUCCUCGUGCUCCCGCUGGUGCUUCUGCAGUCCCAGGCGCUGCACGCCAAGCCUCUGUCUGCUAGUCGUGGUGGUUUACGGAACCUGGAUGCCACAGGAGGAGUUGUCCGCCUACAAAGGGAGCUUCGCGAUUCGCUCCCUUACGAGGCCCAGAUGAUGUCCUACUCACCAGCUGCUGAAAUAAAAGGUCGCGCCAAUGACCUGUACUACCAACCGGAGGCCUGGAGAGGCCAGGGUCUGGGUCAAGCUCUGCAGCAGCUGAUGGAGAACGAUCAGAGGCGCGACCAGCAGGCGUCCUACUUGGCAAACAUACUGAGACUCAUCAGCGAGGCGGAAGCCAAAGGCCAGGGAAGAACACAGGAGGACGUGGAAGAGGACGAGGAGGCCCAAGACUUCCAGGGACCCUACCCACCAGACUACGAUGAGACAGAGCCAGCCGUGAGCGUGGCCAAGCCUCAGGUCCAAUGGCAGGGAGCUCUGGACCCACAGCUGACCCAGGCGCUGCUGAACCGCUACAAGCAAGAAAGACUCCUGCAAGCAGCAGCCAACCGGGUCCCUGAGAGGGAGCAGGACAAAGACCAGGAGGUCCUCAGAUACCUUGUGGAGAAGGUCCUGUCUGGUCUGACCACCAGCAACCCUGCAGGCCCCCCAGGCCGAAGGGCAAAGAGGGACGUGUCGGAGGCGGCAAACGGGGCCCGUGGUGGCGUGCCGCUGAGACGGUCCCGCCGAUCCCUGGACUCGGCCCCGGCCCCCAACUCCAACUUCGAGGCCUCCUUGCUGCGGGUGAAGAGACUGGGCGACGACGAAGACGGGGCCACUCAGAGCCACAGGCCCGCGGGCCACGCCGGGCUCCAGAGGAUGAAGCGCAUCGACACCGAGGUGCAGGCCGCGAAGCAGCGCAAGAGGAGGGCCCUUCCGUACGACCCCAGCCUGCUCGCCCAGCACAUCCUACAGUACCUGCCUGAGUAGAAGACACACUUUCGAUAAAAGAGAGAUUAUAUAUAUAUGCCAGCCAUCAUGCUUAUAUAUUUUGUCAGCAUUUAUCCAUAGCCGUUGAAGUUUCCACAAGGAAAGUGCAACACUAAUAUGAUUAUAUUAUGUACUACACAUCUACACUAAUAUACAAUGUAUAAAAGAUGGUUUAUCUGUUUGAAUGCACAGUUGAUGGUGGAGCGAGGGAACAGCUUCAAAGAGAUCUACAAUUGGUUGCUGUCAGUGUUUCUGGUCAUGGUCUCUGGUUGCUGUUUGGACAGAAUUAUGUUUGUCCUUUUGUUCACUUUCUAACUAAUAACUCUGUGCUCGAUCCCUUUGUGAACAUAAAAUGUACCAUUUCCAAAAUGUAUGAUCGCUUCAGAUGGUCUGAUGUUCAGUAUUUUUCUUCAUUCUAAACGUAUAUGUGAAUUAUGCAUAUGAGCGUUUUUUUCAUGGGACACACUCCUCCACCGCAAGCAACACUUCCAUCAGAACAGAACACAGCCACCCCCGCCCAGCCGCCAGGGCCUCAGGGCACCCAUCAAUUGCGACAGCAGGCCUGGUUCCAGACCAGUCAUCCAUUUCCCAUUUCCUCACGGAGACACAGUGAAUGAAAAGCCUUACAUAUAUACAGUAUAUACCCAACCAGAGACAUCAGGCCGUCAAACUAUUUAUUAUUCACAGUACAGACAUUACAAAAAAAAAAGAAAAAUGGCACCUUUCAAGUGUAAUAACAGGACAAGAUCAGAAACGUAUUUAAAAUUGUGCAGUAGGAGAGUUGCACAUAGGCACAGGGAUUACAGCAGACCGGACUCCAUCGAUUGAAAAUGGCCAUGGCAAAUAAAUCUUUAAUGUCAGAAAGCUAUUCUCA